UACGUAGGUGGCAAGCGUUGUCCGGAUUUACUGGGCGUAAAGAGCGCGCAGGCGGUCGUUCAAGUCGAGUGUGAAAGCCCCCGGCUCAACUGGGGAGGGUCACUCGAUACUGAUCGACUCGAAGGCAGGAGAGGGUAGUGGAAUUCCCGGUGUAGUGGUGAAAUGCGUAGAUAUCGGGAGGAACACCAGUGGCGAAGGCGGCUACCUGGCCUGUUCUUGACGCUGAGGCGCGAAAGCUAGGGGAGCAAACGGGG
rnacentral:rRNA from 1 species